rnacentral:sRNA from 1 species
GCCAGGCAUGGUGGUGCAUGCCUGUAAUCCCAGCAGCUUGGGAGGCUGAGGUAGGAGGAUCACAAGUUCAAGGCCAGCCUCAGCAUCUUAGCAAGGCGCUAAGCAACUUAGAAAGAUCCUGUCUCUA